GACGAACGCUGGCGGCGUGCUUAACACAUGCAAGUCGAACGGUGAACCUGGUGCUUGCACCGGGGGAUCAGUGGCGAACGGGUGAGUAACACGUGAGCAACCUGCCCCAGACUCUGGGAUAACUCCGAGAAAUCGGAGCUAAUACCGGAUGCGAGACACGCGGGCAUCCGCUGUGUCUGGAAAGAUUUAUCGGUCUGGGAUGGGCUCGCGGCCUAUCAGCUUGUUGGUGGGGUAACGGCCUACCAAGGCGACGACGGGUAGCCGGCCUGAGAGGGCGACCGGCCACACUGGGACUGAGACACGGCCCAGACUCCUACGGGAGGCAGCAGUGGGGAAUAUUGCACAAUGGGCGCAAGCCUGAUGCAGCGACGCCGCGUGGGGGAUGAAGGCCUUCGGGUUGUAAACCCCUUUCAGCAGGGAAGAAGCGCAAGUGACGGUACCUGCAGAAGAAGCGCCGGCUAACUACGUG
rnacentral:rRNA from 1 species